GCUGAACUUAAGCAUAUCAAUAAGCGGAGGAAAAGAAACCAACAGGGAUUGCCCUAGUAACGGCGAGUGAAGCGGCAACAGCUCAAAUUUGAAAUCUGGCUCUUUUAGAGUCCGAGUUGUAAUUUGCAGAGGGCGCUUUGGCUUUGGCAGCGGUCCAAGUUCCUUGGAACAGGACGUCACAGAGGGUGAGAAUCCCGUACGUGGUCGCUGGCUAUUGCCGUGUAAAGCCCCUUCGACGAGUCGAGUUGUUUGGGAAUGCAGCUCUAAAUGGGAGGUACAUUUCUUCUAAAGCUAAAUAUUGGCCAGAGACCGAUAGCGCACAAGUAGAGUGAUCGAAAGAUGAAAAGCACUUUGGAAAGAGAGUCAAACAGCACGUGAAAUUGUUGAAAGGGAAGCGCUUGCAGCCAGACUUGCUUACAGUUGCUCAUCCGGGUUUCUACCCGGUGCACUCUUCUGUAGGCAGGCCAGCAUCAGUUUGGGCGGUAGGAUAAAGGUCUCUGUCACGUACCUCCUUUCGGGGAGGCCUUAUAGGGGAGACGACAUACUACCAGCCUGGACUGAGGUCCGCGCAUCUGCUAGGAUGCUGGCGUAAUGGCUGUAAGCGGCCCGUCUUGAAACACGGACCAAGGAGUCUAACAUCUAUGCGAGUGUUUGGGUGUCAAGCCCGAGCGCGUAAUGAAAGUGAACGGAGGUGGGAACCCGCAAGGGUGCACCAUCGACCGAUCCUGAUGUCUUCGGAAGGAUUUGAGUAAGAGCAUGGCUGUUGGGACCCGAAAGAUGGUGAACUAUGCUUGAAUAGGGUGAAGCCAGAGGAAACUCUGGUGGAGGCUCGCAGCGGUUCUGACGUGCAAAUCGAUCGUCAAAUUUGGGCAUAGGGCGAAAGACUAAUCGAACACCCGC
rnacentral:rRNA from 1 species